UACAGAGACUGCAAGCGUUAUUCGGAUUCACUGGGCGUAAAGGGUGCGCAGGCGGUUGUGUGUGUCAGAUGUGAAAUCCCGAGGCUUAACCUCGGAACUGCGUCUGAAACUACUCGACUAGAGUACUGGAGAGGGAAACGGAAUUCACGGUGUAGCAGUGAAAUGCGUAGAUAUCGUGAGGAACACCAGAGGCGAAGGCGGUUUCCUGGACAGUUACUGACGCUCAGGCACGAAAGCAUGGGGAGCAAAAGGG
rnacentral:rRNA from 1 species